rnacentral:rRNA from 1 species
AUACGGAGGGUGCAAGCGUUACUCGGAAUCACUGGGCGUAAAGCGCGCGCAGGCGGUCUUUUAAGUUGGAUGUGAAAGCCUACGGCUCAACCGUAGAACUGCAUCCAAAACUAUUAGACUAGAGUGUGGGAGAGGAAGAUGGAAUUAGUUGUGUAGGGGUAAAAUCCGUAGAGACAACUAGGAAUACCAAAAGCGAAGGCAAUCUUCUGGAACACUACUGACGCUGAGGCGCGAAAGCGUGGGGAGCAAACAGGAUUAGAUACCCUAGUAGUCC